rnacentral:tRNA from 1 species
CUUAUUAAUAAGAAGCAAUAUUUGCAGUUAGUUUCGACCUAACCUUUAGGUUUUUGACCCUUAUUUU